GUUGUCCUGCCGCAGUACACCUCAUAUGUUUGCUCUCAAAGGAUUACAGCCGCCCUGCCAUGUCUAAGUACAUCCGAAAUAAGGCGAGAACGCGAAUGGCUGCAUUGAAAUCAGUUAUGGUUCCUUAGAUCGUUUCUUCCUACUUGGAUAACUGUGGCAAUUCUAGAGCUAAUACAUGCAGUGAGCCUGGAGCCCUUUGGGUAACGGGUGCUUUUAUUAGACCAAGAUCGAUCGGGUUUCGGCCCGUAUUGUGUGGUCACUCUGGAUAACUUUGUGCUGAUCGCAUGGCCGACUUCCUGUCGACGGGUUUCUUUCAAGUGUGCUCGCCGUCUGUGUGUGGGUGGAUUUUGGUAGGUUACUUGCUUACCAUGGUUGUUACGGGUAACGGAGAAUCAGGGUUCGAUUCCGGAGAGGGAGCCUGAGAAACGGCUACCACAUCCAAGGAAGGCAGCAGGCGCGCAAAUUACCCACUCCCGGCACGGGGAGGUAGUGACGAAAAAGAACAAUACACAUACGGGGAUCUUUUGAGGCCCGUAAUUGAAAUGAGUACACUCUAAAUCUUUAACGAGGUCAAUUGCGAGACAAUCUGGUGCCAGCAGCCGCGGUAAUUCCAGCUCCAAUAGCGUAUACUAAAGCUGCUGCGGUUAAAAAGCUCGUAGUUGGAUCUCAGUUCCAGACGAGUAGUGCAUCCACCCGAUGCGCACGCGCUCGGAACUGAACAUCAUGCCGGUUCUUUCUUGGUGCACUUCAUUGUGUGCCUCGAGAUGGCCGGUGCUUUUACUUUGAAAAAAUUAGAGUGCUCAACGCAGGCGAGUCGCCUGAAUAAACUUGCAUGGAAUAAUAGAACAAGACCUCGUUUCUGUUGUGUUGGAAAAUCGAGGGUAACUGAUUCAAGAGGGACGGACGGGGCAUUCGAUGUGCGGCGGCUGGAGUGUGAGGUGUGUGUCGCAAGACGAACUACUGCGAAAGCAUUUGCCAAGAAUGUUUUCAUUGAUCAAGAACGAAAGUCAGAGGUUCGAAGGCGAUCAGAUACCGCCCUAGUUCUGACCAUAAACGAUGCCAACCAGCGAUCCGCCUGAGUUACUCAAAUGACUCGGCGGGCAGCUUCCGGGAAACCAAAUAAACCAAAGUAUUUGGGUUCCGGGGGAAGUAUGGUUGCAAAGCUGAAACUUAAAGGAAUUGACGGAAGGGCACCACCAGGAGUGGAGCCUGCGGCUUAAUUUGACUCAACACGGGAAAACUUACCCGGCCCGGACACUGGGAGGAUUGACAGAUUGAGAGCUCUUUCUUGAUUCGGUGGAUGGUGGCGUGGACCAUGGCCAUUCUUAGUGAGUGGAGCGUUUGUCUGGUUAAUUUUCAAUGUAGAACCGAACGAGACCUCUAGCCUAUUAAUAGGCUGCGGGUUCGCCAGCGAGUGACCUUCUUAGAGGACAGCGGGCUCCUAGCCGCACGAAACAGCGGACUUACGCGCUCGCGGCCCGCCGCGCGCGGCUGUGAUGCCCUUAGAUGUCCGGGGCCGCACGCGCGCUACACUGAAGGAAGCAGCGUCUGUUUAUCCCUGUCUGAAAGAGACUGGGGCCAGCCCAGCCGAUGUUCUAGUGGUUAGAGCAUCCGCCUCGCAUGCAAGAGGUCCGUGGUUCAAAUCCCGGUACCGCGCAGUUCCCAACCGGAUUAAAAAAAAAAAAAUCCGCGUGUUGAUGGAACUGCAUUAAGAGGCCUGGGGUGCGGCCUCACCGGCAAACACCACCGAGAACGCACUCCCUCACCAGAGAAGGAUUGGCCACCCUGGUGCAG
rnacentral:rRNA from 1 species